rnacentral:rRNA from 1 species
CCCUUAGAUGUUCUGGGCUGCACGCGCGCUACACUGAUGCGCUCAACGAGUUUUAACCUUGCCUGGAAAGGUUGGGUAAUCUUUUUAAAACGCAUCGUGAUGGGGAUAGAUUAUUGCAAUUAUUAAUCUUCAACGAGGAAUGCCUAGUAGGCGCAAGUCAUCAGCUUGCGUCGAUUACGUCCCUGCCCUUUGUACACACCGCCCGUCGCUCCUACCGAUUGGGUGUGCUGGUGAAAUGUUCGGAUCGGCCGUUUGUCGCGGUUUCCGCGUCAUGUGGCUGAGAAGUUCAUUAAACCCUCCCACCUAGAGGAAGGAGAGGUCGUAACA